AGAGUUUGAUCCUGGCUCAGAUUGAACGCUAGCGGGAUGCUUUACACAUGCAAGUCGAACGGCAGCGCGAGAGAGCUUGCUCUCUUGGCGGCGAGUGGCGGACGGGUGAGUAAUAUAUCGGAACGUGCCCAGUAGCGGGGGAUAACUACUCGAAAGAGUGGCUAAUACCGCAUACGCCCUACGGGGGAAAGGGGGGGAUCGCAAGACCUCUCACUAUUGGAGCGGCCGAUAUCGGAUUAGCUAGUUGGUGGGGUAAAGGCUCACCAAGGCAACGAUCCGUAGCUGGUUUGAGAGGACGACCAGCCACACUGGGACUGAGACACGGCCCAGACUCCUACGGGAGGCAGCAGUGGGGAAUUUUGGACAAUGGGGGAAACCCUGAUCCAGCCAUCCCGCGUGUAUGAUGAAGGCCUUCGGGUUGUAAAGUACUUUUGGCAGAGAAGAAAAGGUAUCCCCUAAUACGGGAUACUGCUGACGGUAUCUGCAGAAUA
rnacentral:rRNA from 1 species